GAGAGAGAGAGAGAGAGAGAGACCCUACAGAAUGACCAAUUUUUGAUCUUGUAAGAUAACUCCUGAAAUUAGACCCACCUAGAAAAACCGAGUAGUUAAAUAUAUGAAAGGUGGAUGCAUAAACAACCAAGGGAAGAAACUAAAAUGCCCCUCGGUUGAAAAGGAUAAAACAAGUAUGGAUCAACCCAAAGAACCUUUCUAAGGUAACCAAAAAGGUUAGUCCAUAUCAAAUGAAGCCAGGAAAAACAUAUGCAAGACCUGAAGGGGAUACUAAAAAAAGGCAAUAAACAAAUUAAUUAAGGGUUCAAAGAGAUGAGGACGUUUACGCACAUAAAGAAGCCAUUUGGCAACUCAAUUGGCCAUAGUGAGAUUAGUCAUGGCCCUUGUAAUAGCUGCAAUGCAGCUUGAACUCCUGGCAAUCCCUCCAUUCUUUUGGGCACCUUUAGGACUAAUAGAUUGUGCCCUUCUUGUGCUUUUCUUUAAGAUCUCCCUCAUGGCCUCAGCUUGGGACAGGACUGGAUAAGCCCUACCAAACUUGUUAAACCUUGCACAUGCACUCAUAUGUGCAUUAAGAGCCUCCUCUAUUUUGCCUCCAUUUUUCUCCUUCUCUUCUUUCACUGCCUCUGCACACAACCCACAAAUCCACUUCCCUAAGAACUUGUUGCGAACGCGAUCAAUGUACUCGGGGGUGCACUCUUCAAUCAUGCCACAACAUUCACAUUUUGCAUCUUCAACCUCUGAUAUUGGCGGGAGCUGCUUGAUAUCGAUUGCUUCCUUGCUCAGUUCAUAUGAGAUAUCGGAUAUUGUUCGAUGAAGAUUAUUGUUGUUCGAGGGUCUUGGUGGCUUGGAGAAGCUGUUGGUCUUACUGUAAGUACUAGCAAUAGCCUCUACAUGUGGUGGUGCCAUAAUUGACAAGAGAACCUUGCAGAGAAUUUAGGAAAGAAGAACGAAGACACCUGCAGAAGUGGGUUGAAAUAGAGAAACUUGUAGAUAAUUAACUCGGAG
rnacentral:misc_RNA from 1 species